GGAUGCGAUCAUACCAGCACUAAAGCACCGGAUCCCAUCAGAACUCCGAAGUUAAGCGUGCUUGGGCGAGAGUAGUAUUAGGAUGGGUGACCUCCUGGGAAGUCCUCAUGUUGCAUUCC
rnacentral:rRNA from 1 species